UACGUAGGGUGCGAGCGUUAAUCGGAAUUACUGGGCGUAAAGUGUGCGCAGGCGGCCGAGCAAGUCGAGUGUGAAAGCCCCGAGCUUAACUUGGGAACUGCGCUCGAAACUACUUGGCUAAAGUGUGGCAGAGGGAGGUGGAAUUCCACGUGUAGCGGUGAAAUGCGUAGAGGAUGUGGAGGAACACCGAUGGCGAAGGCAGCCUCCUGGGCCAACACUGACGCUCAUGCACGAAAGCGUGGGAGCAAACAGG
rnacentral:rRNA from 1 species